rnacentral:rRNA from 1 species
GAUGAACGCUGGCGGCGUGCCUAAUACAUGCAAGUCGAGCGAACAGACGAGGAGCUUGCUCCUCUGACGUUAGCGGCGGACGGGUGAGUAACACGUGGAUAACCUACCUAUAAGACUGGGAUAACUUCGGGAAACCGGAGCUAAUACCGGAUAAUAUAUGGAACCGCAUGGUUCAAUAGUGAAAGACGGUUUUGCUGUCACUUAUAGAUGGAUCCGCGCCGCAUUAGCUAGUUGGUAAGGUAACGGCUUACCAAGGCAACGAUGCGUAGCCGACCUGAGAGGGUGAUCGGCCACACUGGAACUGAGACACGGUCCAGACUCCUACGGGAGGCAGCAGUAGGGAAUCUUCCGCAAUGGGCGAAAGCCUGACGGAGCAACGCCGCGUGAGUGAUGAAGGUCUUCGGAUCGUAAAACUCUGUUAUUCGGGAAGAACAAAUGUGUAAGUAACUAUGCACGUCUUGACGGUACCUAAUCAGAAAGCCACGGCUAACUACGUG